rnacentral:rRNA from 1 species
CCCAUAAGAGGGGGAGUAACAUCGGAAACGGGGUGCUAAUACCGCGAUAGUUUCUUGAUCGCAUGAUCGGGAAAGGAAAGACGGCCUUUGUGCUGUCGCUUAUGGAUGGACCCGCGGCGUAUUAGUUAGUUGGUGAGGUAACGGCUCACCAAGACGAUGAUACGUAGCCGACCUGAGAGGGUGAUCGGCCACAUUGGGACUGAGACACGGCCCAAACUCCUACGGGAGGCAGCAGUAGGGAAUCUUCCGCAAUGGACGAAAGUCUGACGGAGCAACGCCGCGUGAGUGAAGAAGGUUUUCGGAAUCGUAAAACUCUGUUGUCAGAGAAGAACAAGUUGGAGAGUAACUGCUCCAGCCUUGACGGUAUCUGACCAGAAAGCCACGGCUAACUACGUGCCAGCAGCAGC